GCGGAGUGAGAGCGAGCCGCCAGGAGCGGUCGUAUGGCGGCAGUGCCGCGGAGAGUGAGCUCCGCACAACCAAGGGAGCGAGAGGCCCUUGGUGCUGGUUGCCGGUGUGUGGGUGAGGGGCGUCAACGCGCGGGAUCUGCGCGGGCCGCGGGAAGCGCGCCCGUGGCGGGGGAAAAGGAGGUCGAAGCAGUAAAACGAUCUGGCGGCGGGCGGCCAUUGUAGAACACGCCCUCACCUGUAUAAAUUUCUGAAGAUGUCCACUAGAGAUUUUGCAGAUGCUUCAUUCCUCAUCACCGUAUGAUGUGUUCACCAAUCUGCAAAUAUCUUCCUUACUUGAUUACUUUGUGACAUGUUCUUUUCCUAUGGUAGCCCGAGUUCUUUCUUUUGUUAGCAGUGUUAAAGCAUAAAUUGCUGUCAAACUGAAUCAGUUAAGUGGUAACUGAGAAACUGAGUUACAGAAGUAUAGCCCACUACCCUGAAAAGAACUAUGCAGGUUUUUAAACUUUCUAUGUUAUGGAGAAGCCUUGCAGAAAAAGGUGAGGAAAACCAGACUGGAUGCAUAGUCUGAUACAUGUUCCCAUGCUCCUACAAAAUUUCUCAUGUCUUCACUUAAGUUCCUGUCAGAGCCAAUGGAUGUAAGAAGCAGUGGCAAUCUGCUUGCAUUCCUGUGCUGCUGCCAAAGCAGGUGCGCUACUCCAAGCAUUCCAGAUUGUUGCCAGAUGAUACCCUCGGCUCGCAGUGAGUUCAUCCAAUGCCAACACCGAAGAUCUAUUAACAGGAGCAGAUGUUGUCAGGGUGUGGUUUCAUACUGUAGCUAACAUGAGUGCAGGCUGUCAGUUGUCAGUCUUUCAUCCCUCUGACCAUCCCUGCCUGUCUGUUUUCACUAUUCUACUUGCAUCGCGUCUUGCAAUUGUACAGCAACAGCUGCUGGCUCAGCAUGAGGGCCUGGCAGCACAGUACUAGAGCCAACACAAGGAAAGUGUCAGCAGUGUGAGGCCCAGGACAGAACAGAGAGCAGAACUGUCCCUUUCAACAAGCUGCAAUUACAAUGCAACAAAAUAAUUUCAUUCAAAAUUAAACGAGAAAAUCAAAUGUUGCCUUCAAACUCUGCAAUGACUGAGAUUUUUUAACUAAUGUUUCUCCUUCUCAGUGUCCCACUGGUAAAAUGGGGAUAACAGUUCUCCUCAGUUGCACAGAGGUGCCGUGCAGCCUGCUCCAUUCAUUCUGAGGCAUCUGAGUACAUCAGUCAGUAUUUGCUACUCAACAGUAUUUCUAUAGCAUGUGUGCUUCUAUGCUUUUGUCUCCUUCUAACUUUCAAAUACUGCAUUUUGUAACCUGACUGAUCUCUUAACACAGAUUUUUUUUUUCUUAUGGAAUUACUCCUAGUUAAAUAUAGACAAUAACUUAAAUUCUUACAAGGUUAAAAAACCUUGGAGCUGAAGUAAUAGCUCAUGCAUGGUAAAUAGAGCUUACCCUUUAUUUCUGUCCUUUUAUGAUAAAAGUACGCACCCAUAUAAUUCCUGUUUGGAAAGUGCAGGUCGUUCUCCUGUAAACCGCCUUUUUCCUUAAGCUCUGUCUGCAUACUUCAGCAGAAUCUGACACUUGUUUCCAGUCUGCACUGAUAUAGGCCCCUGUCUAUCAUAAUGCCAAUGAUACAAAGUUAUUAAUCAGCUGUACCAUUGUACACAUUUCUUUCCCUGUCUGGGUACAGUCACACAGACUUCCCACAGAGCUGGCCAUCCCCGUGCUCAGACUGAGGGCAGCUGCCAGCCUGUUUGCCCCAUCAGGCAACCUAUAGCAUUCCCCAGCUCCAUGAGUGUGGAGUAGCAGGAGAGAUUCUAGGAAGUACAGUUACACUAUGCCAUAAUGAUCAGGCAACUGCUUAUUUUAUUUGUACGAAUGCUUGCCAGUUUCUAUUGCCUAAGAGGAAGUGCUAUUUUGUUGUCAAACUCACCAUAAACCAAGAUGGAAUUAACAUUUCAUAUAGGUUUUCUACGUUGUUUAGAUAAUAAAACUUCCUUAUCAACUCAGUCUGAACAAGGGCACAUCUGUAGGACUUCCUCAAAUGUCUCUGCCGUGAAUGGAUUUACAGUUCUCACAAUUUUACUAUGUACUUUGAGGCAAAUAUUAUACAAGAAUGCAAAUUCUGCACGUGUAUUUCAUUAUGGAUUAAACGUCAUCCAGAAACUCCUCUGAGUUUAGGAUAAUUUUUUGAUCACAC
ensembl:lncRNA